UACGAAGGGAGCUAGCGUUGUUCGGAAUCACUGGGCGUAAAGCGCACGUAGGCGGAUGUGUCAGUCAGGGGUGAAAUCCCGGAGCUCAACUUCGGAACUGCCUUUGAUACAGCACGUCUUGAGUCCGGAAGAGGUGGGUGGAAUUCUUAGUGUAGAGGUGAAAUUCGUAGAUAUUAGGAAGAACACCGGUGGCGAAGGCGGCCCACUGGUCCGGUACUGACGCUGAGGUGCGAAAGCGUGGGGAGCAAACAGG
rnacentral:rRNA from 1 species